CUCCUCCAAAUCAGAUGUCAUCUCCAUGAAGGCAGAGGCUUGCCUGUUUUGUUUGGUGCUGUAUCCCCAGCACCAGCAUUAUUCCUGCGCAUAAUGGGUUGUCUCAUAAACAUUUGUUGAAGUAGAGAAUAAUUUUUCUUUUGCAUUUGUGGAUUGACUUUAAUGCCAGAGAAUUCUACACGUAUAUCUCACUUUUAUCCUUGAAAAAUAUUUGCAAUGGAAACGGGGACAGAAUCAUAGAAUCAUGCUUUUCUUUUCUCUUCUUUUUUUUUUUCCUCCACAGAUGUGAAAGCUGAAGCCCAGAGAGCCUAAGGGAUUUCUCAAGGUCAAGAGCCAGUUGAUGGUCGUGUUGGGGUUGAAUCUGUACCUCGUGUAGACCUGAGGGACUCCCAGAGUAUCAGGAGCUGGGGAGCUGUCGGGAGCUGGAAGCACGGAUCAGGAGACCAGUUGGUGUGCUCAGAGGAAACAACAAUGACAAUACAACAAUCCCUCAGAUCUACAGAGUUUUCCAUUCAGCAAGAGCUUUCUCGGAUGCUUUCUCAUCACGUACCCCUCUGGACUUCAGUUUCUUCUUCUCUGAAACAAGGGCAUUGGACUCAAUGAUUCCCGAAGACUUUUCCCCAUCCAGGCUGUCCGUUGGUUCCAUUAUCCUAACAAAACCUCAGGGACAAGACUGGAGCUGGUGUCCAUUAGCCUCAUUUUAUAGUUGAGAAUACUGAGGAGCAGAGAAGGGAAGUGAUUUGCCCUACGUCACUCAGAGAACCCUGCCAGGGCCAGGUCUGGCAUGUAGUGAGGUGGGGAGAGGAAGGAGACACACCUUGACUUCUCAGGCAAGGAGAAAGGAGGCAGAGGUGUGCUUAGAGGCUGUUCCUGGGCCUGCCCUACCGCCCUGCAGGGGAGGGUGGCUGGUGAGCUCUGGGUGGUGCCGGGUGCUGUAUCCCUACGGCCUAGAACAGUGCCUGGCAUGUGGGAGAUGCUCCAAAAAUGCUGGUCAGUGAACACAUGAGCAGAUGGGCCUGGCCCCCAUGAUCUCAGGGCCCCCAAUCACAACGCCCCGUGGUGCUGGUGUGGGGCCCAGACACGGAGCCACGUAUGUACUGUCAGUAGAAGAUGCUGGACCGCGGAGGGUUCCAGGAUCAGAUAAAACUCCCGCACUUCUCUGGCU
rnacentral:lncRNA from 12 species